GCAUAGGCGUGAGCCGCUCUUCUGGGGCGGCGAGCGCGCGAAGCCCCGGCGAGUAGGAGGGCGCGGCGGUGUGCGCGGAAGGGUCUGGGCGUGAGCCUGCCUGGAGCCGCCGCCGGUGCAGAUCUUGGUGGUAGUAGCAAAUACUCAAGCGAGGGCCUUGAGGGCUGAUGUGGAGAAGGGUUUCGUGUGAACAGCCGUUGCACACGAGUCAGUCGAUCCUAAGCCCUAGGAGAAAUCCGAUGUCGAUGCGGGGGGUUUACAUUGCUCCCCCUCGAUGGGCGAAAGGGAAUCCGGUUCCUAUUCCGGAACCCGGCAGCGGAACCGAAUCUACGGGCCCUCGUCAGAGAAGCUCGUCGGGGUAACCCAAAGGGACCCGGAGACGCCGUCGGGAGACCCGGGCAGAGUUUUCUGUUCUGCAUAAGCGUUCGAGUUCCCUGGAAUCCUCUAGCAGGGAGAUAGGGUUUGGAACGCGAAGAGCACCGCAGUUGCGGCGGUGUCCGGGUCGUCCCCUCGGACCUUGAAAAUCCGGGAGAGGGUCACGCGGAGGUGUCGCGCCGGCUCGUACCCAUAUCCGCAGC
rnacentral:rRNA from 1 species